rnacentral:rRNA from 1 species
GAGGCCUAACACAUGCAAGUCGAACGCGAAAGUCCCGCAAGGGAUAAGUAGAGUGGCAAACGGGUGAGUAACACGUGGGUGACCUGCCUUCGAGCGGGGGAUAACGUCCCGAAAGGGACGCUAAUACCGCAUAACAUCCUGCCUUUUAAGAGGUGGAGAUCAAAGCCGGGGACCGCAAGGCCUGGCACUUGAAGAGGGGCCCGCGUCUGAUUAGCUAGUUGGUGGGGUAAUGGCCUACCAAGGCAACGAUCAGUAUCCGGCCUGAGAGGACGAACAGCCACACUGGGAUUGAGAACGGCCCAGACUCCUACGGGGGGCAGCAGUGAGGAAUUUUCCGCAAUGGAGGCAACUCUGACGGAGCAACGCCGCGUGCAGGAUGACGCGUUUCGGCGUGUAAACUGCUUUUCUGGGGGACGAGCAAGGACGGUACCCCAGGAAGAAGCCCCGGCUAACUACGUGCCAGCAGCCGCGGUAAUAC